rnacentral:rRNA from 1 species
UACGUAGGGUGCGAGCGUUAAUCGGAUGUACUGGGCGUAAAGCGUGCGCAGGCGGCCCGUUAAGACAGGUGUGAAAUCCCUGGGCUCAACCUAGGAAUUGCGCUUGUGACUGGCGGGCUCGAGUACGGUAGAGGGGGGUGGAAUUCCUGGUGUAUCAGUGAAAUGCGUAGAGAUCAGGAGGAACACCGAUGGCGAAGGCAGCCCCCUGGGCCUGUACUGACGCUCAUGCACGAAAGCGUGGGGAGCAAACAGG